AGGACUGGAGACCACAGCAGCGAUCCUGCUCUUGCCCUACCUCUUCAAUGAGGACCCGAGUGGCCUUUAUGUCCGUGACAUGAUUUCACCGCUCUUCACUCCUUUACUGCACAUCGGCGGAAAUCCAUUUCACCAUGAGAGUGAAAUCCCGCUGGCCUUUGAUGGGGAGAACAUCCACGCCCUCGAGGACGUCUCCAUGGGACUUGGGGCUCUGCUUGGGCUGUAUUUUUUAAUUUUCCCUUAAAUUUCCCAAAAUGUCAGAGAAACACUUAUGUUGUUAAGUUACUGUGUUCUGGGGAUAGGAGAAGUUGGGUGAAGUUACCAGGGCCGGUCAUAAAGAUGGCAAACUUCCUAACAUAACUAAGUGAAUAUGAUAUACACACUAAAGCUGAAAAAUCUGUAUUUAGCAUCAAGUCUACAAUGUUGUUAGUUUACCUAUGAUUCAUUUUUAAUGUAUGUUGUUUUUAUUGUACAUCAUUAUUUUAGUUUUUUUUAAAUGUCAUGAAAAGCAC